UCACAUUAUUCAGUUCGGGUUUAUUUACAUUCGAACUCGGUGUAUUUUAAUCAUUUUUCUUAUUGUGAAGUAUUUUCUCGACGAUCGGCACAUUUCCUAUUCGAAAUAACACGACAUUUUGUCGCCAUCGAUAUAAAUACACAUGACGUACACGGCGUUCCAGUCGAAACUAGAGGUAAACCUACUAAUGAUGAGUCACGAUUUUUUUUUUUGCAUAAAUAAUUUAACAACUGGCAGAUUAGUGGAAACAUGUAUUUUAGGCGAGCCAUUAUUCAACUUGCGAUUAAAAUGUCGUAAAAAAUUAUCCUCUAUAAAAAAAUUUGGAAAAGGAAUUCUCUAUCAGGACUGUCUACUUUACUAAACUUACUUCUAAAACUCUAAUCAAUUGGAAGUUCGUCCUUGAUAAUAAAUGAAUCAAUUUCGUGUCCAAACUGAAAGGCUCCAGGAAAUUAAUUUAAUUGUCAAUAAAUAAAGCUAAUCUUGUGAGUUGUUUAGUUAUUUGAAUUUUGAACAGAGAGGAGGAAAUAGAUUUAAAAUAAAACAAAAAGAAAUCUUGAACUUUAAUUAUGGUUAUAAUGUGCUUGGUCAUCAUAUUUUCGAAACAAUAGCAGACAGAAAGCAGAUGCCUCAUCAGCGGUAAAGCCCGUAAAAUUGUGAUUGUGCCAGGUAGAACCGGAAAAAAGAAACAACACCACUUUCUAUGUUGAUAUACACAGCUGAUUGAUAGUCUCGAAAAACAUUUCACAUCAGUAGUGAGAAGCACGAGCUGGCACGUGAUGUGACUCAACAAUUUGUAAAGCUGUUGUAUGGAUAAACUACAUUGCACGGGACAAAAUGAAAUCAUGUCGCCAGAGGAAUGUAGCUACAGGACUACGAUAGUUUUACACCCGAAACUGAAAGCAUACUAAUUAAGGACUGAAGCGACAGAAAAGUGCUUGGUAUAAGCAGAUUCUACAACACAUCUAAAAUGCUCACAGAAGGACACAAAGACAACUCUGGGGACGAACCCUCUGGAAGUGAUAUGCAAGUUGAACAAACACCAACGAGAGAAGUAGGAAGAUUGCUUGCUAACAUUGGAGACAAUUUGAAUCAAGAAGUACGAGCUCGAAGGAGUGAGGAAACGGAGACGGUUAUUCACGUUUUUCAGCUGGCAAAUUUAGGAGGUGUCAACAUGUCCUUUCUCAUACCAAUACACGAUUCAUUUCAGUACGAGACAGAUGUUUCACUGCUUGUGUUUAUAAUUAGUUUCUACACCAGUAGGAGGUUCUUCCGGGUACGAGAUUCUUAGAAAGAAACGUGACAACAGAGUUUCAAUGAUAAUAUAAAAUUCCAGUUACUAACGCUUGAAAAAUUAUUAAAUGAGUUUCUAGUUUUUGUCGAACACUUUGACAAAUAGAAAUGAUUUUCAUUCUUCUCGUCAAAAAUGGUUUUGUCAAUUGAAAUAAGAAUUGACAAGAAGUCAACACUUACACAAGUUACUCGUACUGGUGUAAAAUAUUCGCAGAGAUACCGUUCCGUUGAAGAGAAAACACAACAGCCCAGGAGCACUGAGGUGAAUAACGCCGGUUUUUUAUCAUUUUACCUUCUCCUACAUUCAUUGUAUGAGAAAAUUUGUGUUUUGUGGGAUGAAGUGAGCCGCGGAAAUCGAGAAGAACCGUUUCAAGACAUCUUGUGAGAAAGACCUUUGAACGACUUAAUUAAAAUGCAGUGAACUGAUUUUUCGAACAAGUUGAGGAAAAAGUUUGCUGCUGAGAAAGAGACUGAUUUACAAGGUGUUGACAAGAAAAAGAAAAUCUAGAGGAACCAAUCAUGCUAAAUAAUUUAUUUAUUUCAGAGACGUAAAUUAUUAUGAUAGAGACGAUGCUGGACUAAUUAGCUUCAUAACAAUGUUAAUCCAAAUACAGAGUGACUUUCUAUGUAUAUAAUUUUGACUUACCAUCUUUUUUGCUAAUGUUUUGUACCCUUGAAGAGGGGAAAAUAUUUCUUUGUGGCGAAAAAAGUGUACAUACUGUACAUAACAAAACAUGCUAAAAUUAGCCAUGAUGUUCUAUCAAAUAAAAUCGCAGAAGUUUACAUUGUA
rnacentral:lncRNA from 1 species